rnacentral:rRNA from 1 species
GGUCAAGCUACUAAGGGCGCAUGGGGGAUGUCUAGGCAUCAGGAGGCUUUGAAGGGCGCGGAAGACUGCGAUAAGCCCGGGGGAACCGUCAAACAGGUGAUGAUCCCGGGAUUCCUGAACAGACCGUGUCUGAAUACAUAGGGCACGAGUAGCGAACGCGGAGAACUGAAACAUCUCAGUAUCCGCAGGAAAAGAAAGAAAAAUCGAUUUCCUCAGUAGCGGCGAGCGAAAGGGAAACAGCCCAAACCGAAGUGGUUUCCACCUCGGGGUUGUAGGGCCCUCCACCGGAGUUAUCAAACAAUCGGCUAGCAGAACGAUCUGGAAAGGUCGGCCAUAGAGGGUGACAGGCCCGUAUGCGAAAGCUGGUUGUCUCUGGAGGGUACCCUGAGUAGGUCGAGUCACGUGGAACCUCGACUGAAUCAACGGGGACCAUCCCGUAAGGCUAAAUACUCCCUGACGACCGAUAGUAAACAAGUAGAGUGAUCGAAAGAUGAGAAGAACCCCUGUUAGGGGAGGAAUGUGAACCUGAAACCAUGUGCCUACAAGCGGUCGGAGCGCUAUGGCGGGAAACCGCAAUGCGUGACGGCGUGCCUUUUGCAUAAUGAUCCGGCGAGUUACCGUCAGCGGCUCGGUUAAGGUCCUCAGGACCGUAGCCACAGGGAAACCGAGUCUGAAUAGGGCGACACAUGUCGCUGGUGGUAGACGCGAAACUGCACGAACUACCCAUGAGCAGGUUGAAUCGCGGGUAAAACCGCGUGGAGGACCGAACCCACUUGGGUUGAAAACCGAGGGGAUGACUUGUGGGGAGGAGUGAAAGUCUAAUCAAGCGCAGAGAUAGCUCGUUCUCUCCGAAAUAGCUUUAGGGCUAGCCUCGAGUAAUUGCAUAGUGGGGGUAGAGAGACUGAAUCGGAGGAAGGCGAUACCCUCGUACUUCCCUGAACCAAACUCCGAAUACCAUUAUGUUUAUCUCGGGAGUCAGUCCGCGAGGGAUAAGCUUCGCGGUCAAGAGGGAAACAACCCAGACCACCUGCUAAGGUCCCCAAGCAGAACUCAGUCACUAAGGAAGUCGAGUUGCAGUGACAGCCAGG